rnacentral:tRNA from 1 species
GCCGAAAUAGCUCAGUUGGGAGAGCGCUAGACUGAAGUUGUUGACGCACCAAUCAUUUAAAGGCUCCGGUUCAAUCCCGGGUUCCGGCA